rnacentral:rRNA from 1 species
UACGGGGGGAGCAAGCGUUGUUCGGAUUUACUGGGCGUAAAGGGCGCGUAGGCGGUCGUGACAAGUCACUUGUGAAAUCUCCGGGCUUAACUCGGAACGGUCAAGUGAUACUGUCGGACUAGGGUACAGAAGGGGCAACUGGAAUUCUCGGUGUAGCGGUGAAAUGCGUAGAUAUGCGGAGGAACACCGAUGGCGAAGGCAAUCCCCUGGACCUGUACUGACGCUCAUGCACGAAAGCGUGGGGAGCAAACAGG